UCAGUAGCUCAGUUGGUUAGAGCAGGGGACUCAUAAGCCCAAGGUCGCAGGUUCAAGUCC
rnacentral:tRNA from 14 species